CAGCUAUCUCUCCAAGUGGCCUCUGUGUCACCUAUUACUUUUGUAAAAAAGGCCAUGCCCUGAGCACGCAUUCCCAUUAUGUACCCACUGUGUCUGAUCACACGCUCUGCAUGUGCACUCUGUGUGCCCACACUGACGCCGGCCCCUGAACGCAGCAGCGAGUGAGAAGCACGGAGGAGCAGACAUCAGCUGGACUUGAGUUUAGACUGCGGCGAUCUUUCACGGACAGUUUCUUUUCCGUGUGUGCGUCCAUGGAAAUCCUGUGCCUCACAAAGGCACCAAAAGAGCUGAUGAACCCCACGUUCCUGGGCUCCUGAUGAGCUGAUGAACAACCCCAUAGCAUCCGGUUGCCAUUCUGCUACAGUUCCAAUCUCAGCACUGUUGCAGACUUGGAGGAGUUCCGUUUUGACACAAAACACACACACACACACACACACACACACAACACACACACACACACACACA